UAAGUCUUCCUAAGUUGCUGGGCCAGAAAUUGAACCCAUGCCACAGUAGCGAUACAAACUGCUGCACAGACAAACCUGGAUCCUUAACCCGGUGGGCCACAGAAGAACUCCAAUGACUGCUAUUCAUUGAUGGCCUGGAUUACUAUGUGUCAGAUCAUGAGUUAAACAUUAUCUCAUUGAAUCAUUACACCACCACUAACCCUUUAUUAGGUGGUUAUCAUCCUCAGUUUACAUGUAAGAAAAGCAAGACUUGCGUAUGUUUGCCCAGGCUCAAGGUAAGAAUGCCUGCAAAACCAGUUUGCAACCACCACUAUAUUCGCUGAACAUGAAGCGGGCAGCACGUCUGUAACUUCAAUUCCCGUCGGGCUGUGCGGCAGCGUCGCGAGAGUUGACCUGAAAAAGCAGCCUCGCGAGCGUUGGCUUAAAUGCGGCGGCGGGAAGGCGGCUGUCCCUGCUGCGGGAGCGGUUGAGAGUACGGACAGCUGAGGCGAUGGCGGACAGCCACAGCCCGGACAGCGAGCCUACGACGCGCACGCUGCUACGGCGCGUGCUGGAUACAGCGGAUCCGCGCACCCCGCGGCGACCCCGAAGUGCUCGGAUUGGUGCUCAGAUAUCCCCGCUUGAAACAUCUUCCUCUAGGAGGCUGAGGAGCCAAACAAAGAUGUCUGCCAGGCGUCGAUCUCAUAGAAUCAGGUCUAUUGACAGAUUGGCCCAUAUUCAAGCCAGUGGACACCUGGAGGAACAAACACCCCGAACUCUGCUGAAGAACAUCUUACUAACUGCCCCAGAAUCUUCCACUGUGAUGCCGGAGUCUGUGAUGAAGCCACUGACGGUGCCACAGAUGGUCCAGCCUUCCAGACGGGAAAGCAGUUGGAGCAGCCUAGAGCUGCAGCUUCCUGAACUUGAACCCCCCACAACCCUGGCUCCAGGUCUGCUGGCUUCUGGCAGAAGGAAACAGAAGCUAAGGUUGUCAGUGUUUCAACAAGGAAUGGACCAGGAGCUGCCUCUCUCUCAAGCUCCCUCAACCUGACCUUUGCCACACCUCUCCAGCCACUGUCAGUGAAGAGGCCUGGUUUGGCCCGCAGACCCCUCACCCGACGUGCUGUAGAUGUGGGUACAUUUUUCCAGGAUCUGCGAGAUACUUCUGUGGCCUUGCCUCCUCCAGACACAGUGUUGGAGGACACCCAGCCGUUCUCCCAGCCCUUGGCUGGCCACUCCCCCAGUGUGCGCCACUCCCUGCCUUGCCCCCCUCACUCUGGGGCUAAAGAAUUGGAGAGGGCUGACAGUCGCAGGACACUGAGCGGUGGGCCUGGGCCACAGAAUAAUGGUCCUGGAGAACCAGCCCAGCUUCUGGCCGGAAAGGUGGAGGAAGCUGCUGCUGCUGCCGUGGGCUUUCCAAAUGCCAGCAGUAGUAUCUCUGGAGAAGAUGGAGUAGAGCCCUUACAGAACAGGGUAGGUGAGGAGGCAGAGGAAAGGACAGAAGAAAGUUGGAGCAUGAGGGAAGUGGAGGAGGCAGCAGGAGCACAAGGAUCUGCCAGAGCAGGAGAGCCUGAAGGACACACAGAGGUGACAGAAGCAGAGGGGUCCUGGGGGGCUGUUGAGGCCAAGGAGCCAGAAGGAUCUUCAGAGGAUGAAGAUACCUCUGGUAGGACAGGUAAGGGGUCCAGUGCAGGGAUCAUGGCGUGGGUGGAUAAGUGACAACUGUGUCCUACGCUUUGGUGGUAGGGUUUACUUGGCUUGUAUUUCUGGGCACAGGUAGUGUUGGGCUAGCGGAACUCUGAAGGGCCCCCUUGCUUGGUCAGAGCUUGAUGGGGCCCUUGAGGAACAGGACAAGGAGGGUCUGGGUUGGUCAGGAUGUCAGGGUUGGUUGGGAUGGUCAGGCCUGAGCCUUCUGUAACCCCGCCCUUCCUCACAGCAAGUCCAGAGUUGGCCUCCAGCACCCCAGAGUUCCUUCAGGCCAGGCGACUUCAGGUUCUUGAACCAGCCCUACUGCCUAGCACUGCAGUCUUACCUUCAGAACCUGCACAGCCUCUGUUGGCCAGGCUUCCUCCCAGGCCCCGCAUCGCUGGUCCCAGGCCCCGUCCAGAUCCCUACAAGGCUGGACUGAACCACUAUGCUAAACUCUUUAGCUUUUAUGCUAAGAUGCCCAUGGAAAGGAAGGCUGUGGAGAUGGUGGAAGAGUGCCUGGACAAGUAUUUCCAGCAUCUUUGUGGUGACCUGGAGGCAUUUGCUGCUCAUGCUGGCCGAAAGACUGUGAGGCCAGAGGACGUGGAGCUGCUGAUGCGAAGGCAGGGCCUGGUCACCGACCAAGUCUCCCUGCACGUGCUUGUGGAGCGACACCUGCCCCUGGAGUACCGGCAGCUGCUCAUCCCCUGUGCAUUCAGUGGCAACUCUGUCUUCCCUGCCCGGUAGUGGCCAGGCCUCAACCCCUGCCUUGUCCCCACCUUUGCCCCACAUACACUUCCAGGUUUUCUCCUUGCCCCCCAGCAUCAAUAAAGAGUCACAAAUAGAA